AGUAAGGAAUAUUGGUCAAUGGGCGCAAGCCUGAACCAGCCAUGCCGCGUGCAGGAAGACGGCCCUCUGGGUUGUAAACUGCUUUUAUUCGGGAAUAAACCUUUCUACGUGUAGGAAGCUGAAUGUACCGAAGGAAUAAGGAUCGGCUAACUCCGUGCCAGCAGCCGCGGUAAUACGGAGGAUCCAAGCGUUAUCCGGAUUUAUUGGGUUUAAAGGGUGCGUAGGCGGCUUAUUAAGUCAGGGGUGAAAGACGGUGGCUCAACCAUCGCAGUGCCCUUGAUACUGAUGAGCUUGAAUGGACUAGAGGUAGGCGGAAUGUGACAAGUAGCGGUGAAAUGCAUAGAUAUGUCACAGAACACCGAUUGCGAAGGCAGCUUACUAUGGUUUAAUUGACGCUGAGGCACGAAAGCGUGGGGAUCAAA
rnacentral:rRNA from 1 species